rnacentral:rRNA from 2 species
UUCAACGAUCAUAGAAGUAGUAAUGCACUAGAUCCAUCAGAAUCUGCAGUUAAGCGUGUUUGGCCGAGAGUAGUACUAGGAUGGGUGACCUCCUGGGAAGUCCUUGUGUUGCAC